rnacentral:rRNA from 1 species
CCUACGGGUGGCAGCAGUGAGGAAUAUUGGUCAAUGGGCGCAAGCCUGAACCAGCCAAGUCGCGUGAGGGAUGACGGUCCUAUGGAUUGUAAACCUCUUUUGUCGGGGAGCAAGGCCCGCCACGUGUGGCGGGAAGCAUAGUACCCGAAGAAAAAGCAUCGGCUAACUCCGUGCCAGCAGCCGCGGUAAUACGGAGGAUGCGUGCGUUAUCGGGAUUUAUUGGGUGUAAAGGGUGCGUAGGCGGAAGGUUAAGUCAGCGGUCAAAUGUCGGGGCACAACACCGGACUGCCGUUGAAACUGGUGUUCUUGAGUGAGCUAGAAGUAAGCGGAAUGCGUGGUGUAGCGGUGAAAUGCAUAGAUAUCACGCAGAACCCCGAUUGCGAAGGCAGCAUGCCGGCGCUCAACUGACGCUGAGGCACGAAAGCGUGGGGAUCGAACAGGAUUAGAUACCCGAGUAGUC